rnacentral:sRNA from 1 species
GCUGGGCAAUGUGGCGAAUGCCUGUAAUUCCAGCAGCUCGGGGCUGAGGCAGGAGGAUUGCAAGUUGAAAGCCAGCCUCAACAAAAGCGAGAUUGCUAAGCAACUCAGUGAGACCCUGUCUCCA